rnacentral:rRNA from 1 species
UACGUAGGGUGCGAGCGUUAAUCGGAAUUACUGGGCGUAAAGCGUGCGCAGGCGGUGAGCUGUGUCCGAUGUGAAAGCCCCGGGCUUAACCUGGGAAUGGCAUUGGAAACUGGCUCGCUGGAGUGUGGCAGAGGGGGGUGGAAUUCCGCGUGUAGCAGUGAAAUGCGUAGAGAUGCGGAGGAACACCAGUGGCGAAGGCGACACGCUGGGCCGUACCUGACACUGAUGCGCGACAGCAUGGGGAGCAAACAGG